rnacentral:lncRNA from 1 species
AUGAAUCAUAUUCUGACUGAGAUCCCACUACACCUUCUGUAUGUUUGAUAUGAUAUCCAAAGCUUUGGUUAUGUGUUUCGGUACAUGCUUUGGAUAAGAAUGAUAUGAUUGCAACGUCAAAGACGACGUUUGAGCUUCUGUACGGUAUUUGUUAUUGAUAUGCUCUGAAAAGUUUCAUUCACUGUUGAUAUGCUUCGAAAUGUUCCAUAUGCCGUUGAUAUGCUCCGGAACAUUUCAUACGCUAUUGAUAAGCUCCAAAACAUUUCAUUUGUUAUUGAUAUGCUUCGAAAUGUUCCAAACGCCAUUGAUAUGCUCCGGAACAAUUCAUAUGCCAUUGAUAAGCUCCGAUAUGUUUCAUUUGUUAUUGAUAUGCUUCGAAAUGUACCAUUUGCCAUUGAUAUGCUCCGGAACAUCUCGUACGCUAUUGAUAUGCUCCAAUUACUCUAUGCUCCAUUUGUUAUGAAUCAAAUAUGUUUUGAAUGACAUGAUACAUUUGAUUUUGUAUCUAAUGAGAUGGUAUCCUUGAGAAUUCUUGUAUUCUGCCUUGCAUUAUGAUACCUUACUUGUUUGAAAUCAUUCCUUUUGUUCUGAAUAUGCUUUGUCACUUGCUGAGCUGUUUUUAGCUCACUCCGUUGUUAUAUAAAUCUUUCAAGUCAGCUUGUCACCAUUUGAAAUGUUUGAUUUGGGCUGAGGCAGUGGAUAGCUAUUCAGAAUUAUGGGCAAGUCUUGUUGGUUGUUAUGCUAUUGUUGUAUAAGCAUAUUUUGUAUGUAAUGAAAUGUUGUUGAUGAAUCGAAAUGGAUAUACUGUGUAAAAGUGUUAGAAGAUCUCUCUUAUUUGGAAUUUCGGAAUGUUAAGUCUAAUUUAUGACGAUAUGAACCUGCGGUGAAUAGUUGGAGUUCUGAUUGUAUAAUUUAUUUAGCUUGUGGAUUUAUAAAUGUUGUUCAUGUUUGUCAAGUUGGCUUGGGUUGCCAUAAAUGUGAAUUAUCGAGUGAUAUGAUAUAUGAUUAUAAAUUGCACAGGUUUUAUAGAUGUGAAUUUGAUAGAAUGUUUUCAGUGUCCUCAAAUGUUAGUUUGGAUCCUGGAUUGGUUUGUGAUGAAAUUGUUUUAAU